GAUUAUGGCUCAGGACGAACGCUGGCGGCGUGCCUAACACAUGCAAGUCGAGCGAGGAGAUCCUCGGGAUGAUCCUAGCGGCGGACGGGUGAGUAACACGUGGGCAACCUGCCUCAUAGAGAGGAAUAGCCUUCCGAAAGGGAGAUUAAUACCUCAUAACAUUGCAGUUUCGCAUGGAACAGCAAUUAAAGGAGUAAUCCGCUAUGAGAUGGGCCCGCGGCGCAUUAGCUAGUUGGUGAGGUAAUGGCUCACCAAGGCGACGAUGCGUAGCCGACCUGAGAGGGUGAUCGGCCACAUUGGGACUGAGACACGGCCCAGACUCCUACGGGAGGCAGCAGUGGGGAAUAUUGCACAAUGGGGGAAACCCUGAUGCAAGCAACGCCGCGUGAGUGAUGACGGCCUUCGGGUUGUAAAGCUCUGUCUUCAGGGACGAUAAUGACCGGUACCUGAGGAGGAAGCCACGGCUAACUACGUGCCAGCCGCUGC
rnacentral:rRNA from 1 species